rnacentral:rRNA from 1 species
AUACGGAGGGUGCAAGCGUUACUCGGAAUCACUGGGCGUAAAGCGCGCGCAGGCGGCCUGAUAAGUUGGAUGUGAAAGCCUACGGCUCAACCGUAGAACUGCAUCCAAAACUGUCAGGCUAGAGUGUGGGAGAGGAAGAUGGAAUUAGUUGUGUAGGGGUAAAAUCCGUAGAGAUAACUCGGAAUACCAAAAGCGAAGGCAAUCUUCUGGAACACUACUGACGCUGAGGCGCGAAGGCGUGGGGAGCAAACAGGAGUAGAUACCCCGGUAGUAC